UGCCAUGAGGAAGGCAAGCCAAGCAUCAUUGUCUGAAUAUUAAAUAGGGGUAACCAUGGAUUUGCUCAUGUGAUUCGGUCCCUUCACACUGCUCAGACCAGAAGGAGACAGAGAAAACACUGCUGGGGCCUUUCUAGCAGAGGACAGAAGAAAGACUAUGGUGUAGAUUCACGACAGGUCAUGGGUGCUGGGACACUGCAUUGCCCAACUUUUGGGCACUUCUGACUGAGCCAGCCUGCCAACACACCCUCGGCAAGGAGGCACCUGAGCAACCAGCUGGGAACACUGAGGACAGAGGAGAGCCUCAAGUCCUGGAUGCUCCUGAAGCAUGGACUACAGCACACAUCUUCUCCUCACCUCCAAGCAAGUCCAAACUACUGGCCUGUGUUUCCUUUUCUGUGAAUUUGGAUAAUGGCAUGAAAGGAGUAUCUUCAAGGCAAAGCAGAGUUUUCCUUCCGUUUCUUCCUACUCUCCUUCAGGUCCCACAAACUAGAGGUGAGCCCUAAACAUUAGGUUAUUGGAUAAAAGUGGACACUCAUUCUACCCUGUCUUUUAACAGAAAGGAAGUAUGAUUGUUCCGUUUUUGAAGAAAAGAGCUGGCUUCCCAAUUUCAGUAGUGGCUUGAGACCCGGUAAAACCCCCUGGCAGGGCUGAGCAAGGGUAUAUCUAGGUGGAAGCGUGUGGACAGACUUGUCAUUAACUUUUCCCCUGCUGCUGACUUUCUGCUUCUCUGCAAACAAGGACAUUUCAGCUCUUAGUAUUUGUGGUUUCUCUUCACACCUUUUGUCUGUCUUGUUUAUCUUCAUUAAAAAUGCCUUUGUGGGGGUGGGGGGCAGGAUCAGCUUUCAUGACCUGUGUGUACGGCUCUGAGGUGAUCUGGACACUGCAGGUGCACAUCACCACAGUGCAUAAAAGACAAAUAAUGUUAUAUAUUCUUUCACGGUGUUGAAGUAUGUGAAUUCCCUUGGAUGGCACAUCACCUGUUUAUCCCUUCACCUUUCCAAAAGAGACAAAAGAGACAGAUUUUCUUACCCCUUUCUGAGUAUGUACUGGUUUCACGAGGUGCUCUACCGCAAUAUCAGAAGGCAGGGGUAUUAAAAUCAAUGCCCUAUGCAUUCUGUUUGUCAAUUAAAAAUCUCCUUUUACCUUUAAAAAUUCAGGGGUUAAUCCCUUCUUUCAGCUUGCAGUCACUUUCCUGGGCAGCAGCUGGCUCCUUUAGUCAUCCUCUGUGGAUGUGGCUCUGCCCCUAAGGUGGUCCUGACACCCCAGUCCUGGGGCUGAACCCAUCAGUGGAGUCCUCAUACCUGUAAGAAAAAUCCCAGAGGCUCAGUGCACUCCUGUGGUUUGACUGUACAGAUUGCACUGCAGGACUGAGACCUCAGCACGCAGCCUGAAAAUUCAUUUUAGCAUGAAAAGUGCUAGAGUAAUAUAGUAAUGUAAAGUAAUACCUAAAUAAACCCACAAAACCUAGAAGGGAAGAGAUUUAAGCCCCAUAAUUGCCCUAAGCUUUGCUAAUUGUGAGACCACCAGCUGUGAUAAAGGAAAUUGAUUUCAUCAGUUGUCAGUCAUCCUCGUUUUAUUAAUGAUCAGAAGUUCACGUCUCCUCCAGGCAGGGCAAAGUCCUUCUCUGGUCUGUUCCUGCCUGUCAUGCUGAAAGGUUUGGCUAUAACAAUCCCCGCAUCUUCCCCGGGGAGUUUUCUCUCUCCCCAGUGGUUUCUCUUGCUGUGAUCAUGCUGGGUCAAGUCCUUGUCCCAAUGACAUCACUCGGAAGUUUCUUAUCAAGCUUGUUGCUCACCCCUUCACUUAUUAAGUAAGAUAUCUGACUUCUGGAGCAGAAGUAGUCUGUACUGUGGCUAAACUGGAUUCUUUUAAAUAGAGCCAGACAAGCUACAUUACCCUGAAAGUGUGUUGCUAAGCAUAAUGGAUGGGACGGAUAGAGAUGCUGUACUAUAGUUGCUGUUUCUCAGGAAAAAAAGGGCUUGCUUCUUUCAGUUUUAUAUGAAAUUGAAUUAAAAAUAACCAUAUCGCUGGUGAGUUUUUUGAUUGACAAUAUAACAGAGAAUGUUCCUCUCCACCUCCUCCACUACUCCAAUGCAAAAUUAAUUAUUAAAAAAGGUGUUGAAAGAUGGAAUUUCAUCAGAAGGGAACCUGAAAUUUUCCUGGCUGCAUAGCCAUCAAUUCUUGCUCAUCAGGUUUCAGUUUCUGAUAGAUGUGUAUUGACAAAUCUUGGUACUGCUUUUGGAAAAAUGAGAGAACUAUUGAAAAUAAUUACAAAGAAUGAAAGAGAAAACCAGAACAGGUGUGUCCUUCUCCCUUCUCAUUUUGAGGAAAUGGGUCUGGCAACAUUCUCCUAGCAGUGCUGACUAGA